CCUCUGCCGCCUGUCCCGGCUUUUCAGCUUCCGUCCCAUUGCCACUGCAUCUUCCAUUUAUCAAUAACCGGCGUUUCCCAAUUUUUCCCUUACCCAAUAAAUUUAAUUUAUUAUUCCCUAUUUUUCAAAUGACAAAGCAACACAACAACAAAAGCAGAAAGAUAGCAAGAAAACUACGAGGAAGAGCUGAUUCUAUUAUUUUAAAAUGGAAGAAUCUUCAAGAUUUUCUAUGGCUUUUACUUCAAAAGGAAAUACAAUUUUCUUUCAUGACUUGGAGCUGGUGAUAACAAACAACCAGUGCACGGCAAGAGGAGAAGCAACAGUUCUCCCUCAGAGAUGUCCUAAGGGCAUCAUAAUGAAUUCAUUCAAGAACUAAUAUGGUGGGAAGCAGACUGGCUUCCACGUUCUGGCGGAUUUCCCAAUUAAUGUGGAGGACAAGGAUCCCCCGACAGCGCUGCCGCCCCGCAUCCCGCCCCCGAUGGCGCUGCCGCUGCCGCCCUUUUGCAGGCCUACGGUGUUGUCGCUAGCGCCGCUCCGCACCUCUACUGUGCUGCCUCUACUUCUCACCACUACACCACCCGCUCUGCCUG